rnacentral:rRNA from 1 species
AGUGAACGCUGGCGGUAGGCCUAACACAUGCAAGUCGAACGGCAGCACAGUAAGAGCUUGCUCUUACGGGUGGCGAGUGGCGGACGGGUGAGGAAUACAUCGGAAUCUACUUUUUCGUGGGGGAUACGUAGGGAAACUUACGCUAAUACCGCAUACGGCCUACGGGUGAAAGCAGGGGAUCUUCGGACCUUGCGCGAUUGAAUGAGCCGAUGUCGGAUUAGCUAGUUGGCGGGGUAAAGGCCCACCAAGGCGACGAUCCGUAGCUGGUCUGAGGGGAUGAUCAGCCACACUGGAACUGAGACACGGUCCAGACUCCUACGGGAGGCAGCAGUGGGGAAUAUUGGACAAUGGGCGCAAGCCUGAUCCAGCCAUACCGCGUGGGUGAAGAAGGCCUUCGGGUUGUAAAGCCCUUUUGUUGGGAAAGAAAAGCAGCAGGUUAAUACCCCGCUGUUCUGACGGUACCCAAAGAAUAAGCACCGGCUAACUUCGUG